AGCAGGGACAGAACAGGCCAUGCAAUACAGGCUUCCCCCACAUUGCUCCACCAAUAUGCCUCAAGC
rnacentral:sRNA from 1 species